rnacentral:rRNA from 1 species
GACGAACGCUGGCGGCGUGCUUAACACAUGCAAGUCGAACGGAAAGGCCCUGCUUUUGUGGGGUGCUCGAGUCGCGAACGGGUGAGUAACACGUGAGUCACCUGCCCUUGACUUUGUGAUGACUUCAGGCAACUGGGGCUAAUACCUGCUAGGAGCUCCUGCUACAUGGUGGGGGUUGGAACGUUUCGGCGGUUGGGGAUGGACUCGCGGCUUAUCAGCUUGUUGGUGGGGUAGUGGCUUACCCAGGCUUUGACGGGUAGCCGGCCUGAGAGGGUGACCGGCCACAUUGGGACUGAGAGACGGCCCAGACUCGUACGGGAGGCAGAAGUGGGGAAUAUUGCACAAUGGGCGGAAGCCUGAUGCAGCAACGCCGCGUGCGGGAUGACGGCCUUCGGGUUGUAAACCGCUUUCGCCUGUGACGAAGCGUGAGUGACGGUAAUGGGUAAAGAAGCACCGGCUAACUACGUG